GAGGAAACUUGUGCUAAUACCGGAUAAGUCUUUACGGAGAAAGCUUUAUGCACCAUUGGAUGAGCCUGCACUUGAUUAGUUUGUUGGUGGGGUAAUGGCCUACCAAGACUGUGAUCAAUAGCUGAUUUGAGAGGAUGAUCAGCCACAUUGGGACUGAGACACGGCCCAAACUCCUACGGGAGGCAGCAGUGGGGAAUCUU
rnacentral:rRNA from 1 species